AGUCCAAACAUGAAAAGUAGAACAAACCUAGAAACUGGAGGUUUUGGAUUCACAUCAUAACGUCCGCAAACUGCCAAAAAGUGAAUUUGACAGCCACAAGAAAAUGCGACUCAAACAUAACUUAGAAAGUACAUGCACUCCAUUUUUUAUGACAAUUUCCCCUUUAAUACAAAGCUUCAUUCCUUGAUACACAUGUCCUUGAUACCAAGCUGUACACAAAAAAGUGCUGCUAAAUUUUUUGGGCAGCAGCAGCAGCAGCAUACAUCCAUUACUUACACAAACCAGUGCCUAGAAACUUUUCUUCUAUUCUCUCCUCUUUGUUUUCCUUUUUCUAGAGUUCAUAUACUAGCCUCACCGAAGCCAAAAUAAACAAGAAUGUCUUUAUUCACAAUUGAGUAAUUGAGACAUUUCAAGGUGUAGAAUUUACUGAGAUCUCCUGCUGCACAGGUGAGCUUGGUUGGUCCAGAUGUGAAGGGAUGACUAGCCGCUGCAAAGGCUUGAGAGCUACUGCAAGCUGGGCAAAGGAUGGACGCAAAUUUGGAUCCGUCUGCCAACAUUCUGUAAUUAUCCUUGCAACUAAUGGAUCAACAUCCUUGGGGAUUUCACG
rnacentral:misc_RNA from 1 species